AUACGAAGGGUGCAAGCGUUGUUCGGAUUUACUGGGCGUAAAGCGCGCGCAGGCGGAUUGAUAAGUCAGAUGUGAAAUCCCAGGGCUCAACCCUGGAACUGCGUCUGAAACUGUUGAUCUAGAGUGUUGGAGAGGGAAGUGGAAUUUCGCAUGUAGGGGUAAAAUCCGUAGAGAUGCGAAGGAACAUCAGAGGCGAAGGCGACUUCCUGGCCAACUACUGACGCUGAGGCGCGAAAGCGUGGGGAGCAAACAGGAUUAGAUACCCUAGUAGUCC
rnacentral:rRNA from 1 species